AUGGCAACCAAGAGCCUUCUUCUCGCCGCCCUCCUGGUCCUCGCCGUCAGCCAGGCGCCGCACGGUGCGGAGGCGGGCAAGCAGCCUCCAGUGGCACUCGUCACCGGCGUGGUGCCAUGCAGCGCCGGGAACUCCAUCAACGUGGCUGCGGUUCCCCCCUUCCCGAGUAAGGACCUCUGCUAUCCUCUUGCUUGGAUCUGGAUGCCAUGGGCCAUGGCUACCUUCCCGUCUUACAUUUGCUGUGCUUCUUUGCUCCCGACAGACGCCGCCGUGCAGAUGGUGUGCGGCCGUGAUGUGAUGGCCAGCGCCACUGCCGACCGCAGCGGAACGUACACCAUGAACAUGGGCCCGGCCACCUCGUCGCUGCUCGCCCCUCUGCUCGGCAACCAGUGCAAGGUGGUGGUGAUCACCCCGCUAGCCGCCUGCAACGCGUCCCUGGCCAGCGUCACCGGGACGCUAACCGCACCCGUGCAGCUCCUGCGUAUUGACAGUGGCAGCGGCAGCGGUGGCCUCGGGGGCCUUGGCGGCCUAAUUGGCCUCAUCGGGCAGAUCGUGGGCGGCCUCCUCGGUGGCAUCCUUAACAUCAUCCCAUUGCCCUUCUCCCUCGUCUAG
rnacentral:rRNA from 1 species